AAUGAAUGAGUGGUGUUUUUUGUUUUUGUUUUUUUCUGUCUGGAAUGUGUUUGCCCUCCUCAUGGCCAGUCAAGGUGUGUCAUUUCUUUUGUGGCUUACUUCUUCCCUGCGGCCCCUCCAGAUACACCUCCCCUGAGUCCUCAGCUCUUACAUUGUGUCAACGUCCCAUCUCCCAACCAGAUUGUGUGGCUGUACUUGGAAGAAGAGGUAACCACAGUGGGUGCUUACACUGGAGGCUGAUCAAAUCUCAGAAUCUUCCCUGGGCAGGCUCAGUAGUUCUAGAAUAUCCUGGCCCCUUGGAUGGGAAGGACCAGCCACCACUGCCACUGUUGCUGCUGUUGCUGCUGUGUAGGGUCUCCUUCCCCUCUCCUUCCCUCCUCUUUAUGGGGCCAGACUCAGAAAAGCUUCUGGAGGUGGUGUCUCCAAACUGCUCCUCCACAGUACUACCCACUUACCCAGCCUGCUUCCUCUGCUCAGCCCCUUUGGACCAUGGCCAGCUGAUCACUGUUCACGCAGUUACGAAGGCCCCAGAGGUCUUUUGAGACACCCACCCCUCCCUGCCCUUCUGACUGAUGGGACUCCUCACCAGGUGCGGAACCCAUUGGCUCUUGGCUGAGAAAUGAAGUUAAACCUGGACACCGCUGGGAUAUGGAAACUGGGGGAUGAUUAAUGAUACUACUCAGGAAGGGUUGAGACAUUUGCAUUUCUGUCCAGCAGAGGAUCUAUUUCAAUCAGGAAGUUACUCUUGCUGCCCAAAGAAGCAGAAUAGUCCCCUCCCACGCUCACUUACUGCUGAAGGGAGGAUGGUCACGCAGCAUCGUGUGGGCAGUGAAAUCACAGAGCGCCCAGGCGGGAGAGCUGAGCUGCACCGACACGCCCAGAAGGGGGCCACUGCCCCUCAUCCAUGAGAGCUGGUAUCCUGAGAACAAUAGCCCUGAGUGCACCGACCUCUGAGGAACGCUGUUGCGAAAGAAUCAGUGUUCAGGCGAACGCUGCACAGUUACAGAGAAUGGGACAAUCUGCAAAAAGCAACAAAGAACGGGAGACCGUGCCAAUUUUUUUGUAUGGUGGAAACAGCAUGGGGGCCCCCAGAGAAGGUCCAAUGUCUUCAAAAGACAGAACAGAUUCCACUUUAGUCAGGGAAAGAGCUGGAAUAUCUCGGUAGCCAAUCCUGACCAUAGGUUUCUUACCAGCUGCUAUGGUUGUUAAUUACACCUGAGAGGCAGCGUAAUAUACGGGCAAUGAGCACUGCCAUCUUCUAGCUGUGCACCCUCAGGCAAGUUUCUUAACCUUGCUGGGACUUAGUUUCCUCAUGUAUAAAAUGGAGAUAAUUGUUUCUACCCCAUAAAAUUGUAAAGAUUAAAUAAGCCCUUAGAAGAGGGCCUGGCACACAGUGGAUGCUAAGUAUUAGCCAGUGAUGAUAAUAAAAAUAUUUUCUGCAUCAUUAAUUACGUUGGCCUUUCAUUCUAAGCCUGGAAGGGUUCCAACAUUUAAAACAUCAAUUCUUUGUCCUUUUCAUGAAGUCCAAGUUCAAGAACAUUUCCAGAUGUUACGGAUACCUGGGCCAGGUGGCCCUUACCUGACGUAGAAAGCCAAGAUUCUGGAGCCCAGAAAGGCAGGCCAGGAGUGGGAAGAGCAGGCCCAGGAUGGAUUUUCUGUCAUCACUGCUCAGGGUCUAGGAGCUGGAGCAGUGUGGUAUCCCUACCCGGCCCGGCAGCUGAAGACGGGGGAAACUGAGGCCCAGAGAGGUUCUAGACCUGCCGGAAAGUGCUGGAUCCAGGACACAGAACAUUAGCUAAAGCUGAGCUAUGCAGAAGCUUAAAUGGAAUCGUGAGUUCUGCCAUGUACUCUGCUUCAGAAGUUCCGGGGAGCACAGGACACUCGAGGUCGCAUCCUCAGUGUGGCCUGGAUCCUUCUCCCCUUUUGUUCUCCUGGAGAACGUCUUGCAGUAUAGCUGAUCCUGGAUGUCGGAGAGGUCACAUGUGACUCUGAGCAGUAUGUCUGGCGUGGAGGCGUAAGAGAGGCCUGAUGCCCACGGAGGAUUUCACGUGUUAACAGGAUGGCCCUGUAUACAGAAGCAACCAAGGGCCCCAGCACGGGGACACCAGCACCGGAUAGCACCUCAUAAGGACAAAACACUGAAUUUCUUCUUUGCCCUCUCGUGGAAGUCAUCUGCGAUCCCUCCGGGGGUGAGUAUUAUGUGUGCCCUGAGAUGGUCCCUGAGGGCGGCCAUAUGGACCCGCGUGCUGCCAGGCUGGCUGUGUGCCCCAGAUCCUGAGCUGUCGGUGGAGAUAGGGGUCGAGCCCAGAGACCCCAGCCAGAAUUACUUUGGCACGUGUUUUCAUUUCUACCUGAACUUUGAGAAGCACAGACAUUCCCCAAAAUCCAUUUUCCUCAUUUGCUGGGGCAGACGCCGCUCAUUUAUGGCCCUGGGAAGGAAGACAUCACACCUCAAGUGGCCCAACCCCGUGUUGAUUUCAGAGUCUGAAUGUGGUGGCUGCAAGAACAAGGUGCACCAUUCCGGUGGAAUUUGAAACCAGAGGGAGAAGGAAGCAAACUGCCACUUACUAGGACCUGGUGGAGGAUGGUGACUUCUUCAGGCACCGUGUCAUUCAUUCCCUGUUUCCCAACGCCCCCCUGCUGCAGGUGGCACUAUGCCAUUUACAGGCAUAGACUGUGGCUCAGAGAGAGCAAGUACUGGCCUAGGGUAACACAGCUGGCCAGAGACAAAGCAGGAAUCCCGCCAAGCCCACGGCCCAAACCAGAGUGAGGAAAGCCAGGAAUUGGAACUCCAUUUACAGAUGGAGAAAAGGGGACUCGUGUCUUCCUCCCCUUGCCCUGGAUGGGUGAACACCCUCUUCCUGCACCCCGCCCCCCCACUUGCCUCUCCUUAUGAGAUUCCAGCCAAGGCAUUGUCUUUUUUCGUUCAAGAAAGAAGAGAAUCUUCAUUUCCUGCCAGUAGAAAUCAAUAAUUUAUGAACUACUGUCCCAGCCAGAGCAAAGAGUGAUUUUUAAAAAAUGCGUCUUAAAAUACUAUAUUAAUAAGUAUUCCAAAGAGUGAAAAUAUUUGAAUUAGGGGAAAUGAAUGUUUUACGAGCUGGUGGGGAAGCAAUCCCCUGAGAUGGGCAGGGAUGUUGGGAGAAGCAGGAGUCUUGGAUUGGGGCUGGCUCGAUUGUUCUGAGGCUCCAAGCCUGAGCUGUGGUAACUCAAAGGGCAGAGUGGGUGCAGAAUGGGGCCCAGCCAAGGGCCUGGAAGGUCUCCAUCCCUAAUGCUUGUCAGGUGUUGGCCGCAUGUGUCCUGGUCUGAAACUACUGUGGAUUUUAAGUUCUGGCUUCUUGGGACCUGCUCCCCUGGAAGGGUCCUCCAGGACUUCCUUCCCAGGUAGCUGUAGGGAGAGUCAUCAUCCUACAGCCAUAUAUUAUUGUUCAGUAGCUAUUCACUGUCUCCUCUUUGCUGUGAGCUGAUUAUACUGCUCCGCCCCUGCCAGGGACCUUGGCUUUGCCAAUGGAAUGUGGGUGGACAUGACUUAUGGCUCAUCCAAACAGAGGCCUUAUAUCUGCCUGCCGGACCGCUUGGGUUCUGGGACUCCGGCCCUGAGAAGAGCGUGCCUCAUGCGGUCACUGCUCCUUCUGCCUGGGUCCUGGGACAGAGACACGUGGAGCAGAGCUGAAUCCCAGCCGGGACAGGCCACCGCAGCCAGCCUGCACACUUGAGAGCUCGUUGUCAUGAGACGCGGAGAUUUGGGGGUUGUCACGGGGCAUCAUCACAGAAAAGUGAAUCCGCCCUCCCAGCUCUGCUCCCUCCAUAUCCUGUUGGAGAAGCAUCUUCUUGUCCCUCAGACAGGCGCCCCCAUUGUCAAAUUCAUUCCCUUGGAAGGGUACCUGCUUUCCUUCCAGAAUAUGCUCCCCCUGGGGAGGAUAGAGCAAGUUCCCCCAGUUUUUUUCCAUCAUAACAGUCCUUUUACAGCAUCGACUCAUGUCUCAGACCCCCAAGGUUUAGCGGAUGUAUUUUGGUAACCAUCGAUUGGGAUCAAGUUGAGGGGGAGAGAUGCAGUGAUAAAAAAGCAGCUACGAAUUAUAUUUUACUAUAUAUUUUAUCCAAUAUAGUAAUGGUUGAUGAACAUUUGAAAAGCAGCACACAAGGGCACCUGGGUGGCUCAGUUGUUUAAGCGUCUGACUUUGGCUCAGGUCAUGGUCUCACGCUUCGUGGGUUCGAGCCCAUGUGUGCUGACAGCUUGGAGCCUGGAGCCUGCCUUGGAUUCUGUGUCUCCCUCUAUCUCUGCCCCUCCCCGGCUCACACUCUGUCUCUCAAAAAUAAAUAAACAUUAAAAAAUUUGAAAAGCAGCACGCAAACAUAAAAGGUAUAGUGUUUAUUCCAUUAUUGUUUGAUACAGUGUAGAUUCACGGAUUCCUUGCGAUCCGAGACUCUGAGGUACCCAGGAAAGAGAGUGACUUUUGCUGUAAGAGAGACCACUUGCCAGCAAGGACCUCAGGCUUUCCAGACCUCAGUUUUCUCUUCUGUAGAAUGGUGAUAAACACGCCUGUGCUAUAGGAUUUCGUAAUAGGUAAAAACAUGAAUGAUAAAGCACUUGACAGACAUGGGGGGUCUUGACUAAUCUUCCUGUUCUUUGUUGCUUAUCUAGUUCUGUGAUCAUAGCCCAGAUUUAGAGCUGACUCUCAGCCUCAGUUUCCCCAUCUGCAGAAUGGGGAGCACACUACUUGACUCCAUAUUGCUGGGGGAUGACCCAGAGUUCUUAAUGUGAAUGAACCUGGUGCACAGUAGGGAUGAAAGCAACGUCCGCGGCGCCUAGGUGGCUCAUUCGGUUAAGCUUCCGACUUUGGCUCAGGUCAUGAUCUCACCGUUCGUGAGUUCAAGCCCCACUUCAGAUUCUCUGUCUCCCUCUCUCUCUCUGCCCCUCCCCUGCUCACACUCUCUCUCUCUCUUUCAAAAAUAAACAAAUAUUGGGGCCCCUGGGUGGCUCAGUCGGUUGAGCGUCCGACUUCAGCUCAGGUCAUGAUCUCACAGCUCGUGAGUUCGAGCCCCGCGUCAGGCUCUGUGUUGACAGCUUGGGGACUGCAGCUUGCUUCAGAUUCUGUGCUUCCCUCUCUCUCUGCCCCAACCCACUCUCAUUCUGUCUCUGUCUCUCUCAAAAAUAAAUAAACAUCAAAAAAAUUUUAAAAAAAUAAAAAUAAACAAAUAUUAAAAAAAGAAAAACAGACAGUAACUUUCUCCUUGCUAUGGUCACUGGCUGAUGUUUUUUUCCUGACCACGUGCCAGUCACACCUCUUCCAAAUAGCUUUCCUAGGCCCCCACUCCACUCGGGAGCCCCCGUCAGGACAAAGCUCUUGUCCAGGAACGCAUUCAUCCCAGGCUAAAGACCUGACCGCUGAUGUCAGUAAGAGGAGCCCUCCCUGUAAAUUAAUUUAAGAUCCUGUUUACAUGCCUCAACCGUGAUCAUGUGCUCCUUUGACCUACAGCCCUGCACCUUAAUUAAAGCAAUUAGUGUACGGCAGUGAGUGACAGCCUGGGUUUCUCAGGCCUCUGCCAGGUUCCCACUUGCCUGCACUGCCCGAGGCCAGGCUGGGUCAGCCUGUCCCCACCUGGUGUUCGUAACAUGGCCAGGCUCCCACCUAGGUGACGCCAUCACUCUUCACAACAGAAACUGAAAAUGGAAUGCCACCAGGCGGGGACAAGGCGAGGCGGGGACCAGCCAAGGCGGAGGAACGUUUGGCGGAAGCAGGGAC